UACGUAGGGGGCAAGCGUUGUCCGGAAUCAUUGGGCGUAAAGCGCGUGUAGGCGGCUCGGUAAGUCUGCUCUGAAAGUCCAAGGCUCAACCUUGGGAUGCGGGUGGAUACUGCCGGGCUCGAGUCCGGAAGAGGCGAGUGGAAUUCCUGGUGUAGCGGUGAAAUGCGCAGAUAUCAGGAAGAACACCCGUGGCGAAGGCGGCUCUCUGGGACGGUACUGACGCUGAGACGCGAAAGCGUGGGGAGCGAACAGG
rnacentral:rRNA from 1 species